CUGACUGCGGGCCAGGGUGGAAGGCCGGGGUCCUUGAAGGGCGGGCCCCCAGAACUCCCACCGAUCCGUGAACUCCGGGCGGCCCGCCCCCCCCCAAGAUUUGCGGGACGGGGCGUGUAGAGCUCCAAGUGUCGCUUGUUCCCCAGGAACGACGCAGUUAGAGGACCGCACGCAGGCCCCCAUUGGAGCGAAGUGCUGGUGUCCCCUGGCACAGACAGCCCAGGAAAAGGACCACAGGCAGCCCCCCAACUUUAGAAGGGUGUCCCCUGCGCUCUUGGGCACCCACAGUGCAGGUGAUGCACCGUGACCAGCACCCCAUCCCGCCUCUGUCUCCUGGGUACAGACAGUGCAGGUAUAGGACCGUGAGCAGCAACCCCCCCCCCCCCAGUUGAGCAGGUGCCCGGGGACAGUGGUAAGGGCUGUCAGGAUUGUGCAGGAGGGGCCUCCAGGUGAGGGCCUGGAGGCCCGAGUCACCCAGAUCCCUCUCAAGCCACGUGCCGUUGAUGCGUUGAAGUGUUUGGAACAAUAAUUUCUCCUUUCUUAUAAAGACGAAGUUAUUGAUCUGCUUUAGGAUGAAGAUAAUUACUACCUAAAAACGUACGUGUUUCCCCUUCUCCCGGAGUAUCACUGCUCCAGAAACUGAACUCUUUAUCAUGUAGAUUAGUUCUGAGUUUCUGAGAUUUUGUCCUACUGUUUGUGUACCUCAGGGAGUUAGCUGUCUUCUGGCCUGGAAGCCUGAAGUCUUGUGCAGAGCUCCUGCGCAGGCGGAGUGUGGUGCCCCCUGGCCCCCAGGACCAGACUCACUGUGUGAUCCUGUAUCACAGGAGCAGUAGAAGACCAACGCGGGCAUGACGAGCGGGGCUAAGCCUGUGCACGUGGCAGAGAUUAAAACCAUAACAGGACCACAUCAUAAGUAGCUCUACAGUCCUAGAAUCAGUGGAUACAUUCCUCAAAAAAAAAAAAAAAUCUAACUUGCCAAUACCGACUGAAGGAAAGUGACAAGACCUGAAAGUCCAAA